ACGGGAAGAUAUCACAACACAACUCUACAAAUAAAAUAAGUCAUACAAGCAUCAUAAUACAAGCCAGGGGCCUCGAGGGCUCGAAUACAAGUGCUCGAUCAUAGACGAGUCAGCGGAAGCAACAAUAUCUAAGGACAGACAUAAGUUAAACAAGUUUGCCUUAAGAAGGCUAGCACAAACUGGGAUACAGAUCGAAAGAGGCGCAGGCCUCCUGCC
rnacentral:rRNA from 1 species